AAUCACGCUUCCUUCACAGGGCGGAGUCGGUAAGAGUGGUGUUUUCUACCUCACGUCACCACAGUGAUGAUGACACGUGUGGUAUGGAACCCCUUAUCUAUCGCUCUGCACGAAAAUAUGCCACCACGCACGCUUCUCCAUUGUUUAUGAAUUUUGCUUUUUCUUGCUUCGUAUCAUGCGAUCGACGAGGAUUUCUUGCUGAAUUUCAAUCGCAAACAAUUCACAAAGAGGAGUAGCCGUCCUCCGGAGAUCAUCGAUCAGAUCCAAAAAUGGGCUAUGUGGUGAUAGUGUCAUUACCUAUGAUACUAUUCAUCUUAAUAGUAGCCCUUGCAUUUUACCUUCUUGGCAGGGCUCGGGGUCGAAGUGAAGCAGCCAGAAUUCCCUAGUAUCAUGGGCCUCCUGCCCCUCCUUUCCAUCCCAGCCUCCGCCGCAGGAGAAGCCAUCGCCUUCUCAUGUUUAGAAUUCAGAGUUGGUGUAAAUUAAUAGUCUCUGUGUGUGCUUUUCCUAUAAGCAAUGGUUUAACUUAACAUGGAUGCCUGAGCAGUGAGCAAAGAACUAUUCUUUAAUUUGUAACAAAAAGAAAAAAACUUUUAUUUUAUGCUUUGUAGAAUACUAAAUAAAUAAACUAAUAUUGGUGUUUAUUACUAUAAAUUAAAGUUGGUUUCUCA